UACCCAUGAAUAAUUGCUAUUCGCGCAAACUUGUCCCUGCUUGUUCCGCCCAGCCAGACUAUCCUGAAACAAUAAUGCACCCAUCCCCAGCUCCUUCAAUUGUCAUCCCAAAACAUUAAGUCACAAUGUCUCUCUCAAAUAAUGUCUUGAACUAAAAAUCUCAGUCUGGAGUGAAAGCCGGAUUUUGGUAACUGAGGUAUGUACUACAGAGGAUGGAGUACUAACCCGUGGCUGUGAGCAAUGAAAUAAUUCCAAUCUAAAGCAAACACCUCUUCUCCUGACCUCUUUACAUGCAGUCAAUUAGAUGAGAUGAUAGAAAUAUGAUUUUCGCAGCGCAGUUUUCAAUGAUGUAGUUCUCUAAAUAUCUGUGGAUCUCUUGGGUUGGGCUGUUGUAAUUGAACACAAAGUUGUUUCUUUAUGAGAUACAGUUCACUGGUGAUCUAAAUACUAGAUUGGGUAUUUUUAUGAGGCAUACUGUCCAUGUACUGUACCUCAAUACAAUAUGUCUAAAUCUUUGAUAUUAUAUUCUCCUCUCCUUUUACCUCCCGUUACAAGAAAUCUAAAGGAAAGAAGGGAAAUAAAGGUUCGCGUAUGUAAGUACCAUGAGUUUGUUUAGUUGUUGGGCUUCAUUGUCUCCUUUGUUUCAGUGAUUCCUUGCAUACUAUUCUUCGGUUGUGAAAUGACUC
rnacentral:sRNA from 2 species